rnacentral:rRNA from 1 species
AGAGUUUGAUCCUGGCUCAGGAUGAACGCUGGCGGCGUGCUUAACACAUGCAAGUCGAACGGGCUCAUAUUGAAACCUAGUGAUUUAUGAGUUAGUGGCGGACGGGUGAGUAACGCGUGGAAAACCUGCCGUAUACUGGGGGAUAACACUUAGAAAUAGGUGCUAAUACCGCAUAAGCGCACAGCUUCGCAUGAAGUGGUGUGAAAAACUCUGGUGGUAUACGAUGGUUCCGCGUCUGAUUAGCUUGUUGGCGGGGUAAUGGCUCACCAAGGCGACGAUCAGUAGCCGGCCUGAGAGGGUGAACGGCCACAUUGGGACUGAGACACGGCCCAAACUCCUACGGGAGGCAGCAGUGGGGAAUAUUGCACAAUGGGGGAAACCCUGAUGCAGCGACGCCGCGUGAGUGAAGAAGUAUUUCGGUAUGUAAAGCUCUAUCAGCAGGGAAGAAAAUGACGGUACCUGAUUAAGAAGCCCCGGCUAACUACGUGCCAGCA